GAAUUGAAUGUUCGUAAAGUUACACUGUAUAUGGAUAAAAACAAGUAUGGCAUUUGGCUACGGGCAGAGCCAGAUCACAUGGUCCUGGGAAAGCGUCUGAAGGGAGCCUUUAAAGCAGUGAUGGUGGCUGUCAAGCAGCUGAACGGUGAAGAGCUGGAGCAGUUCCAGAAGAGUGGGAGCAUUGUUGUGGAAGGCCACGAACUGCAUGAAGAAGACAUCCACCUUAUGUACACCUUUGACCAGACCACAGGUGGGACCGCACAGUUUGAAGCACAUUCGCAUGCUCAGGCUUUGGUUCUCUUAGAUGUCACCCCCGACCAGUCAAUGGUGGAUGAAGGAAAGGCUCGGGAAGUUAUCAAUCGCAUCCAGAAACUUCGCAAGAAGGUCAGUUUGUUAGUUGAAGAGCAAGCUGUGGUUCAGUAUUUGUUUGUUUUGUUUCAGUUGUUGGGGAGGACAGAAGAGGCGGGUAAUAUUAGUCGUAGUGAUUCAUUAUGAUCCCCAUUACAUUGUCCAUCCAGAUUGUGCCCUGCAGGGAACACAGGCCCCUUGACCUUUCGACUUUCUUAUCCCCAAGCUGGCUGUGGCUCUUUUUGUUUCUCUAAAAUCUUUCAGGCAACCUAUGCAUCAUUCCAUCCUUUUUCGGUUCCCUCUGGCAAGAGGGAUCAUCACAAGAUAGUUAGUUCUCUGACUGGUGCAUAAGGUAACCAGGGGUGGCAGUGUAAUCAGGGUGGAAGGGCUUCUAGCUCAGGGGAGAGAUCUCUGAAUCUGGACAGAAUGGGGUGGUUUUUCCUUAUUAGGGAGCUGAGGAAGGUGCACAGUGCCCAUUGCCUGCAGAGCACAAGGUCCCCACCAGGUGAGAGGGUCAGGAAGCGCUUACCCUGAGGAGGCUUUGACAGCAAGGAGAGCUCCUACACAUCCUCCUUCCCAGGCCAGGCAUCUGGGUUCUAUGGGCCAGAGUCUGAGGAGGCCACUCCUGCUGAUGAAAAGGGUGCUUGUAUGCUGUGUCCCAGUUUAGAGCUUUGUAAGUGGGUUCUAGGUCAUUCUGUCUCACCAUUCACGAGGGGCUGAUGGUGCUAAGGAAUGACAUGUACCCUUCCCACCAUAGCAUGGGCAGAAGAGCACUAUCGGUGCAGUUGGUUGUCCACUCCUGGUCCUGCUUGUGCAUAUGUCAAUCUUCACAUCUGUGCAAAUGGUAGGGAACAAGGUAAGAGUAAAGAAAUUCCAUAGCUUGUGUGGCAUGUUUUACACUUCUGGAAGUCUUUCCUUUUACAAAGUAUGAUAAAACUGGAUGACUUUUUUUUAAUUGUCAUCAAAAUGAACCCAUUAAAGUAAAUAAGGGAUGUGCACUUGGGGGAAGAUGGAGUAGACAUGCUUCCUUUUUCUCCACUGAGUAUAUCUCAGUACCCUGUAUAAAUACAAAAAACAAACAAGAAAACUCUGGAAGGUGGAAGGAGAAGAACAGACCAGCUGGGAACCUUGAAACCAAGUUACUUAAUGAUAGUGAGUUCCCUGGACUUUAUUUUUAUGUGUUAUUUGUCCCAAACCUGGAACGUAAGCUACCAAUCUAGAAAUGCCAACAACUACCGAUCAAAUAAAAGCCCCAACAAAAUCCUGCUUUCACUAGACAAAGAAUCAGAAUAUGGACAACCUAGCAAGACAAAUACCUUUUUUUUUUCCCAGUGCUGGUAAUUGAACCCAUGGCCUUGCAUAUGCUAGGCAGGUGCUCUACCACUGAGCUAUGCACAUCUCCAUCUCCAAAAGAGAAAGUAUUAGACGAUAAUUGGUCUACUGUAGACCUACACCAUAGAAAAAGCUGUGGCCCCACCACCACUCACGUGAGCAAAGGCCACACAGAAAGCCCCAGUUCAGCUUUUGCCUGGCUUAGACUCCUCAGGCUCCACCACCGCCAUGAUGAUAUCAGAGGAGAUUGAGUAGGAAGCUAGGAGUUUCAUCCAAAUGGUAAUGAGUCCUUCUCCCUAGUGGUGGCAACAUGGACAGCUUGUACAUCCAUUCCCAUUGGGCAGUAAUAAAGCAUCCUCCCCCUCACGACUACACGGCAGCAGUGAGGCCACAUAGCACUGAGGUGUCAGUGAGGCCCAGAUGGGGAACAGUAAAGAGGCACUACUUUUCCUGGCCAGGGAGCUAUUGGUGGAGGCCUAGAAGAAAGUGAGAAUGCUCUGCCCUGCCACCCACACCAGGACCAAGAAGUCUGGACCUUGUUUUAAAUGCAGGCCAAUAGUGAAUCUGGACUUCCCACCUGAAAGUAACUAGGCAGUAGCUCCCUUUCCUCCACUAAUGUGAAAAGGGAUAAUCAGUAGAUGCAAAUAUGAUGACAGAACUAUUAAAAUUAUCUGACAGAAUUUACAGCAAGCAUGGUACAUGUUUCGGGAAUCAGUAAUAAAACAAAUGAAAAAUGCAAAGCCUCAGAAAAGAAAUAGAAGCUAUAAGGAAGAAUCAGACAUUUUGUAACUAAGGGCUGGGGAUGCCUGGCAAGCGCGAGGUCCUGAGUUCGAUCCCCAGUAUUAAAAACAAAAAAAGUAACUAAAAUUUUGAAAGCUCAGUGGAUGGGCUGAGCAGCAUAAGAGAAGAGAAACGAAAGAACGAGAGCCAGAAGAUAGAAAUUACCCAUUCUGAACAACAGAGAGUUGGAAAUAGGAAUAGCAAGGGCCUAUAGAUCAAAGAACAAAAAGUUAACAUUCUUGCCACUCAAAUAAUGCCAAAAACCUUCCAAAGUCACCAAACCAUAUAACCCUACAGAUUCAGUAAACUGAGUGCUAUGGCCUGAAUGUUUGUUCUCCUGUCUUCACUCCAAAGUCAUAGGACAAAAUUUUUUGAAACCUUUUUUUUUUUGGUACCAGAGAUUGAACUCGGGCCCUUGCGCUUGCUUGCGCAGCAGGCAGCGAAACCACUGAGCUAAAUCCCCAGCCCUAUAUAUUUUUUUAAACUUUUUAAAAAAAUUUUUGUUUGUUUUUUUGGUCUUUUUGGUGCCAGAGAUUGAACUCGGGUCCUUGCGCUUGCAGGGCAGGCAUCAGAACCAGUGAGCUAAAUCCCCAGCUUGUGUAAUAUUUUUAAAUGAUAUUUUCUUUUUUGGUACCAGGGAUCGAACUUGGGUCCUUGCCCUUGCGCAGCAGGCAGCGAAACCACUGAGCUAAAUCCCCAGCCCUAUAAGAGGGAUAGUGUGGGGGUUUGUUGGGAGCAAUGCUACAUAAUUCUAGGGAAAAAUCAUUUGGUUAGCCUAGUUCUCUUGCCUACAGCCCAGCUACAGAAUAACUCCAGUUUGGCUUCCGGUCACAACUGAGACUUCAGUGAUCCAGUGAUGCUGUGAUUCUCCAGGACAAGAAACAUCCUGGGAGAACAAACAUCUGCUCAGUUCCUCGUUGUUCUUGGACUG
rnacentral:lncRNA from 1 species